GGAAAUGUCGUUGGUCACAAGAUUUCCUAGAGUGGUAUCGAGGUUGAUCAAGCCAAAAUCAAGAUUAUUUCUAAGCUUCUUCCUUCUACCUCCGUCAAGGGUGUUCGAAGUUUCUUUGGCUAAUGCCGGGUUCUAUCGGCGAUUCAUCAAAGACUUCUCAAAAAUUGCAAAACCCAUGAAAAGCUUCCUAAAAAAGAGGUAAAGUUUGUGUUUGAUGAGAAGGGCCUCAAAGCCUAAGUUACUCAGACUCGGGUGCGGGUUUCCAAAAAGAGUACGAAUCUUGAGGCCGGAUCUUUCAUGAUCUAAAUUUAAGGAUUCGAGGAUACAACAAAAAAUAUAUUAAAAAUCUAAAAUAUAGCUAUAAAGAUAUGCAUAAACAUGAAAUAUUAUAUGGAAAACUUACAUGUAACUUGACUUCUGUAGAGUGUAAUAACCAAGUCUUAUGUUUUAAGUUGUAGGCUAGAAAAUACCAUCGCGGUUUGGAUUAAAUCUCGAUGAAAGAAUACAUCAAUGAGAAGUUAAUUUUAUAAGUUUAAUGACCCUUUCUUAUAACUUCAAAUUUUAUAAUGGAAAAUCGAAAAUAUAAAAAAGGAGUCAAAACUCGUCUUUAUUAAAAAAUCGAAGAAAAGCCCUUUCGUUAGAAGUAAGAAAGAACUUUUCUAGAAAAAAAGAAAGAGGACUGGAAUCUAUACAUUGAUUCACAAUUCUUUUUUGAACCGUAUGCAUCAAAAGGCGCAUGUACGGUUCCUAAGNNNNNNN
rnacentral:lncRNA from 1 species